CCGCCGGCGACCGGCGCACGGGUGAGUAACACGUAUGCAACCUGGCCGUGACAGAUGGAUAACCGGGAGAAAUCCCGCCUAAUACAGCAUGACGCCGGGAAGGGACAUCCCUUUCCGGCCAAAGGGGGCGACUCCGGUCACGGAUGGGCAUGCGGCGCAUUAGGUAGUUGGUGGGGCAACGGCCCACCAAGCCGACGAUGCGUAGGGGUUCUGAGAGAAAGGUCCCCCACAUUGGAACUGAGACACGGUCCAAACUCCUACGGAAGGCAGCAG
rnacentral:rRNA from 1 species